rnacentral:rRNA from 1 species
AGUGAACGCUGGCGGCGUGCCUAAUACAUGCAAGUCGAACGAAGUGGCGCACGGGUGAGUAAUAUAUAGUUAAUCUGCCCUACACAGAGGAACAACAGUUGGAAACGACUGCUAAUACCCCAUAGUGUAGGAUGUGACGAUAUCGUAUCAGCUAGUUGGUAAGGUAAUGGCUUACCCAGGCUAGGACGCGCGACUGGUCUGAGAGGCUGAUCAGUAACAUUUGAACUGAGACACGGUGCAGGCACCUUCGGGAAGCCGCAGUAAGGAAAAUUGCGCAAUGGGGGAUAGCCUGACGGAGCAACGCGGCGUGGAGGAUGACAUGUUUCGAGGGGUAAAAUCCUUUUAUGAGAAAAGCGGUGCCUGAGGAAUAAGCAAAGGCUAACUCCGUGCCAGCAGCCGCGGUAAUUC